rnacentral:lncRNA from 1 species
UUCGGUUCACUAUAGACGUAGCAGAAGCUUUAUUGGAUAGAAUUAGAGAUCCGGUGAUUCUGGAAUAUCCGGAAAACUAUGAUAAUCACAAAGAUUUUAUUUAGUCUAAUAAUGACUAAGAUCAAUGUCUUCUUAAAUUCGUUGAAAAAACUUAUGUUUUAGUUGAAAACAAGGAAUAAAGAGAAAUCUUUUAAUUUUUAUUAAUCAAAUCAUAAACUGCAUACAAACUUAAUCCAAGACGGCUAUAUAUAAUAAAACCAUAAAACCCUAAAACAAUAAAGAUAACUAUCUAAAUUAAUAUAAUUAAUAAAAUAAACAAUAAGAUAUUUGAAAAUAUUUCAAAUAUUUAUCUGCAUCAUUCUCUCCAGAUUGGUGUUCGAAUCGAAUCUUGUUCUUCCGUAGAUGUUCUUUUUUUUUUUAUCUUCUUUGAUCGUUGAUUCCACCCUUGAUACUAUCUUUGAAUUAUUCAACUUAAUGAAUCUGUUUUAAAUGUAUUUUUCAAGAUCCACCGUGUAGACACACAGCUCUUUAAUUUUUAAUGUCUUGAUCAAUGAGUAGCCAAACGAUUCCCAAUCUUACAAUGCACGUGUAGUGCAGUUACUUUCUUCAGUUUUGAUUGCACUCAUGAAAUCUCUCACGUAUGCUUUUGUGGUCUUGAAUGCAUCCUUGCUGAAAACAAAAUCAGUGGGCUCGAGCAUCAUCAUGUCCUAACCAUAUCAAUCAUAGAUGGCAGGACUGCUAAUUUAUUUGUAAACAAUUACUUCGCUUUCCACGAACAAAUUCUCCAUGAUCC